rnacentral:misc_RNA from 1 species
GCUGUAUCGAGAGUUCGAAUCUCUCACUCUCCGCCAUUUUUUUAUUUAUUUUUAUAAGGAUUAUUCUUUUUCAGGUCGGGCCAUAGUGUCUGGGUCUUGCGCAAUGAAGUCCCGCGAACCUCGUCAGGUCCGGAAGGAAGCAGCGAUAAGAGGGCCGCUUCAUGUGCCGCAAGGUCGCCUGGGGACUGUGGUCCGACGUGGAAAAGAAUAAGGAUAGC